CGGUGGUUUCAUUCGGUGAUUUUGAGCCACAACCAGGUGUGGAUCUAAACACAAAACAGGUUCAUAUCUGUCCCUUAUACCUUAUGUCUGUGGAGGCUCCAAUCCUGGUUUUGGCUCACAAUCACUGAUGGAAAUCACUGACCAAACACUGACGUGUGAA